rnacentral:rRNA from 1 species
UACGUAGGGCGCAAGCGUUGUCCGGAAUUAUUGGGCGUAAAGAGCUCGUAGGUGGUUUGUUACGUCUGCUGUGAAAACCUAGGGCUUAACCCUGGGCCUGCAGUGGAUACGGGCAGACUAGAGGUAGGUAGGGGAGAAUGGAAUUCCCGGUGUAGCGGUGAAAUGCGCAGAUAUCAGGAGGAACAUCGGUGGCGAAGGCGGGUCUCUGGGCCGUAACUGACGCUGAGGAGCGAAAGCGUGGGGGAGCGAACAGG